UCUAUUAGGUUGGUGCAAAAGUAAUUGCGAUUUUUGCUCUUACUUUCAGUGACAAAAAUCGCAAUUACUUUUGCGCCAACCUAAUA
ensembl:miRNA